GACGACCGCUGGCGGCGUGCUUAACACAUGCAAGUCGAACGAAGUGGCGAACGGGUGAGUAACGCGUAAUCAACCUGCCCUUCAGAGGGGGACAACAGUUGGAAACGACUGCUAAUACCGCAUACUGAAGGAGGGGCUUGCGUCUGAGUAGCUAGUUGGAGGGGUAACGGCCCACCAAGGCGAUGAUCAGUAGCCCGUGUGAUAGUAUGAAAGGCUACAUUGGAACUGAGAAACGGCCCAGACUCCUCAGGGAGGCAGCAGUGGGGAAGCUUCGGAAAUGUAAGAAAGUCUGACGGUGCAACGCCGCGUGAGUGAUGACGGACUUCGGGUGGUAAAGCUCUGUUAAUCGGGACGCGGUACCGGAAUAGAAAGCCACGGCUAACUACGUGCCAGCCGCCGCGGUAAUAC
rnacentral:rRNA from 1 species